rnacentral:rRNA from 1 species
AUUGAACGCUGGCGGCAUGCUUUACACAUGCGAGUCGAACGGUAACAGGCCGCAAGGUGCUGACGAGUGGCGAACGGGUGAGUAAUGCAUCGGAACGUGCACAGUCGUGGGGGAUAACUACUCGAAAGAGUAGCUAAUACCGCAUACGAUCUAUGGAUGAAAGCGGGGGACCGUAAGGCCUCGCGCGAUUGGAGCGGCCGAUGUCAGAUUAGGUAGUUGGUGGGGUAAAGGCUCACCAAGCCAACGAUCUGUAGCUGGUCUGAGAGGACGACCAGCCACACUGGGACUGAGACACGGCCCAGACUCCUACGGGAGGCAGCAGUGGGGAAUUUUGGACAAUGGGCGCAAGCCUGAUCCAGCAAUGCCGCGUGCAGGAAGAAGGCCUUCGGGUUGUAAACUGCUUUUGUACGGAACGAAACGGCUCUGGUUAAUACCCGGGGCUAAUGACGGUACCGUAAGAAUAAGCACCGGCUAACUACGU